GUUAGCAGUUGAAGGAUUAGUGUCCUUCUGGAUAUUGAUUGUACUCUUCAGAAGAAAAAUGAUAGGCAGAAGUUUUCUGUAGACUGAUGUUUCUGAUACCUACUUCUAAAGCUGAGUGAAGACUUUCUAGAAAUGCGUAGAUAGAAAAUUCAAGCUAUUUCUCUCCAGUCUGCUCCUAUUUUUUGACUUUUUUUCAUUCAUGUGAUAUUUUCAUUAGGAAAAUGAGUUGGAACAGUGACAAGAUCAGCUGCUUCCCUUCCAGUCUAGAUGUUGGCAUGUAAAAGAAACUCCACAGUUUCUACACAUUAGUGAAUGUAGAAGUGCAGUAAAUGAAUCUUCAUGCAGUAUGAAAUUAUUGAUGUAAAUACCACGGGAAACAAAACAAUAGUGCAGUAUUAUAGUUUUGAUCCAUUUUCUUCCUUAUUGCUUCUGUUGUUCUGUUGACAAUAAUUUAUCACGUUCUUUUUCUGCAAUAUUACUUGGCUUUGUUUUAGUAUAGUUGUGUUUUGCCUUUAAAAUACUAUGAAAACUAUUAUUCUUGUUUUUUAAUCAUUAUCUAAUAAAAAAGAUAAAAUAUGGCAUCUUUUGGAAAUACUAGGUGAAAUGUUGAUUCUGAAACAAUGCUGGUAAAGAAAAAGCACAGUGGCUACCAGUUUUUCUUGUCUAUCAGAACACUGAAGAUGGGUUUUAUAUAGAUGGUUCUUUAAAAGAAAAGUGCCCAAAUUUCAGUUUCAACCUCCACGUGCUACUGAAUGCAAGCCUAUCCUAAUUUCAAAAUAUUGUUAAGAUAUUACAUCAUUGUACUUGAGCUCUAACAUUAGGUUAUGAAACCAAAACUGUGCACUGUGGACACCAGCAAGUUUGUCUCAAUGCUAUGGUUCUGUACCUGAGCAUUUCAUUAUUUUCUGAUUAUUCAAUUACAUUGCAGAUAAUGCCCAGUAAGAGAAUCAUCCCAGAUAGCAUGAAGAAAUAUUGCCUCUUAAGCUAAAUCUGCACGUAUUGGCAACUGAUUAUCCAAUUAGUUCAUGCUUAAUGCUGAAUUUGGUAUUUCUUGUGGCGUAUAUUUAUUUCCCAGUAGUUUUUAUACAGCAACAAAUAGCUGAAUGGAGUUACCCUGUUGCGCUUAAACUCAGAUCAGCUCCCUGCCUGCAUUUUUGUGGAUGUUGUCAAAGUUAUGCAUUCAGUUCAUGUUUAUUCCUUUAUUGUUAUUACUUGUUCUGCAUGCAUUUGUUUUCCAGUAGCUCUAGUUUGAUUGAAAAAAAUGGCCUGUGUUUAUUCUGUCAUGUCUGAACUAGACUCAGCUGCCUGCCUCUAUUUCUAAAAUAAUUCAAAUAUAGGUGGAUCCCUUUCCAGAUAUGUCUUUGAUUUGCACUCCUUAUCAGCCAUCCCACAUGUGCCUUAUAGCUAAGACAGCUAGGCUGUUCUGUUCUUCUUCAUGCUUGAGAUGGCUCAUCACCUUAAACAGCAACCUUUACUUUGCUAUAGUGCUAUUCUAUUUGUAUCCAUUUCUGUAGAGCUGUCUAUAAUGCAAACAUACAGAUAUCCAUACAGAACUCCCAGCCUCUGAAGCAAUAAGUGCUGUAUAACUUCUAUCACUAUUAAUACAAAUUUGUAAUGGCUUAAUGGAUUUUUUCAAUUGUUUAGAAUUCAGAAACUUCUUUACAAAUAUUUGUUAGCAAAUGCAAGACAAAAGGUUUUCAUUCUGAUAAGUCAGGCUCAAAUAAUUCUAGUAAGUGGAUUUAUAUUAGGCUUGUGAUCAGUCACUAGUGGGGUUCUAAAAGGCUUCAUUUUAGGGCCAGUUCUAUUUAAUAUUUUAAUUAAUCACCUGGAUGCAGGACUUGAAGACCUUAAAGGUAUGCGAAGUAAGUUUGAGGAUAGCACUAAACUGAGACAAGUUGUUAACUGGCUGGAGGGAAGAGAGGCCUUGCAUGACGUUCAGGAGGAAGUUCUGGAUUCUGCCACUUGGGACAGGACAGUCCUGGAUAUAUGUUAAGACUGGGUGAUGAGCAGCAACCCUGUGGAAAGUGAUCUGGAGGUUCUGUCCGAAAGCAAGUUGAAUGUGAGCCAGCAGCGUGCCCUGGAAGCCAAAAUGACCAACUGUACCCUGGGGUGCAUUAGACCCAGCAUUGCCAGCCAGGUGGGGGAGGGGUAGUCCUGCUCUGUGUCCAUAUCUGGAGCUCUGUGUGUGGCUUUAGGUGUCACAGUACAAAAGGGGCAUAAAACUACUAGAGAGAAUACACAGAAGAGCUCUAAAUAUGGUGAAGGGUGUGGAGGGCUUGAUCUCAUUGGGAGCUGGACUUAAUGAUCCUUGUGAACUCCUUCCAACUCAGGAUAUUCUAUGACUGAUAUAAAAAAAGAAAAUACAGAAAUAAUGAUUAAGAUGCUCAAUGCACGUGCUCUACAGGAAGGAAAAAAAAACCAACAAAACAUUGUGUACAGCUGUCAGAAGGUCAGAGGAUGAAUGAAUAUGACUUAUCAGUUGUGUGAUAAGAUUUUCAUAGAUAGGAUUCAUCAGUGUUCACCUUUCUCAGUCACGUUUCAG
ensembl:lncRNA